rnacentral:lncRNA from 1 species
AUGCCCUACGAUCCCCACCGAAUGAGGAAGGACGCUAGAGGUUACAGGACUGGUCCCCGACCGCUCAGCCAGAAACAGGCUUUGAACCCUGCUGAACUCCGGUGGCACAGGCUGCACAAGGCUUGCGUCUCCCUGGAAGGGCCACUCCUCUCUGGUCAGCGAAAUCUCCUCCCCGCCCAGGAAUCUGGACGGCCCCUGCCAUUUGCCUGGUUGUUCCCCUACCCGAGUGCCCUCGAUUUUCCCCUCUGGUCGGGGCAGGAGCGGCAGGGCUGGAUGCCAGGGCCCCAGGGGCAGGGAGGUGAGUGGGCACCACUCCUUCCCCCACGGGUAAGGUGGACAUCCAGCUUCGGACCACAUCACAGACGCCCAGGCCCCCAGCCACAGCCGGGAUCACUCAGCUGGGUAACGUCUCCACUUCCCAGCUGGGCCAGAACUUUUCCAUGCUGCCAGGACUUGCAAGAAAACAGCUGUCUGGCUGACCCUGGACUCGGGGGGAUCAGUCAGCUGUGACUUUGCUGCUCACAGACACCUCGACAGGGAUCCCGCAGCUAUUGUCCAGAGAGACGUCUCACAGCAGCACGGUCUUUACCUCCUCUUCCAGGUAGGCGCUGUGAUCACCCCCACUUUACAGAUGAGAAAAGCCAGGCUGGGUGAUGCCAUGACUCAGGGUUCCCCAGCUUGUGAACUGGUAUUCGAGCCCAGGUCCAUCUGAGCCCCUGGGGUUAAUGCACUAAACCAGAAUUGCAGGAUUCCACAGCGGCAGACCGCCCCACACAGGCCCACCUCUAACAAAGGAGAUGGGAUGGUUAGAGCUGGUUAUUUAAUGUGCUGUAAAGAAACCCCUGUCACUAAAUCUCCAUCUAGAGUUAUAUAUGUAACUGACUUUGAUUAUAGUCUAUGCAUUUAUUUAUGCAUUUAAAACAUUAUUCUGGGCAGGGAUCCACAGACUUUAGUGGAAUGGCAAAAGGAUCCAUGGCAUGAAUAGUGUUGAGAACCCUUGCUUUAGAACCUGCUGGUAAAAUCAUAAUGAGGAGGUGGAAAACACAGUGCGACUUCCAUGAGGGCGGGGCCUGCCUGUCUCUUGUUCCGGCAUCUAAAGGAGCUCUUGGUCAGGAAAAGCAUCUGAUUUCCCUAAGUUUACACCUUUUUCCUGUUCCCACCCCACUAUCUCCAUCAGUAUCAUCAAAGCUGUUGUAGAGUGCCCUGCAAAUGCAGCCUCAAGACAAACCCUUCUGGUGAGGCUGCUGCCAGGACAGUUCUCCCGUAUAAACACUGGAGCAGCCAUGUCCCUCAAAAACCACCUAUGGGAGAGGUGAGUUCCAGAGGGGUGUGCAGAAAUGGCUCUGCAAAUCCAGUCCAGGUGCAAAUCCUGGCCCCAUGAUUCACUAGCUGGGUGACCUUGAGUGAUUUCCCUAACCUUUCUGGCCCUUGUUUCCUUAUCUGUGAUAUAGGCUUAAUCAUAGAACAAUAAAAAAUAUUUCAUAUUUGCCUGAUCACAUAUCUAUGCAUUUAUUCACCCACCCAUCCAACCAUUAGUCCAUUCACUCACCCAUCCAUCCAUCCAUCCAUCCAUCCACCCACCCAUCCACCUAUUCAUCC